AUUCAUCCGAGCCGUCUCUUGCAGUCAAAGCAGAGCUCCCGCUGCCACUGUUAUGGCGGCGUCGUGGCUUGAAAAUAUAGCAUCAAGAGAAAUAAAAAAACGUCCAUAUAGUGGAAAUGCGACAGAUCGCCACUGUCGAGAACUUCUCAUCUCAGAUCAUAUAGAUAUAGUGGAAAUGCGACAGAUCGCGCGAUGGCGCCAGGAUGAGCGGCUUCGACGACCGCAGGAGCUUCGUUGCCGACUGCAGGAGGCGCGUCGUCGCUGAUGAGCUCCUCCUGCGCUCAUUGGCGACGAAGCUCCUCCUGUGGUCGUCGCCGCUCAUCCUCGUGCAGUCGCAAUCCGCCGCAUUUCCACUACUUCCAGAUAUGGAUCUCUGGAUCUGAGAUGAGAAGCUCUCGGCCGUAGGUGGUGAACAGCGCUCGUGAUCGGAAACGGAAGAUGAUAGACUGUGCUCGUUUUUGAGUUCUCUGGUCUAUAUUUCCAAAAAUUGAUACUCCAUGAGUUUAGAAUGUGCUAGUUUUUUAGUUUACUUGCUGCUAUAUUUCUGUAUCUAGGUGUAAACAUUUAUCAAUUCACUCGAUAAUACUUGCUCUACUCCAUCUUAAAUUCUUGAUGUUAUUCUUCUUCAAAUAGAACUAUCACUAUAGGUCGCAUUCGGUUGCUCGUUCAACAUUCCGGAGACCCUGGUUUUCGUACCACAUAAACUCAUCGCCUCCACUAUCGCACGAUCGAUUAUCUUCUCCCUCUCAAGAAAUGCCUGAAUCCAGUCCACGAAGCUCGGGCUUCAAGCGCAAGGCCGCUAAGUGGUAUGGUGAUGGGUGACUACAUCGAUGACGACGAUGAUGUUUUGGAGGGAGCUUGGAUCUUUUGAUUAGGUUUGUGGAGAAUGUUUAUAGAAAGUUGUCGAGAAAAGCGUGCAGGGCUGUUAAGUCUGUUUUACCAGUCCCUAUCUCCACCAAAUUGGUUAUUUGCACGCUUGUUGGGAACGUAGUGUUCAUGAGUAUUUUGAUUAUUCGUGGAAUAUGGAGUGGGAUUUCGUACUUGCAGGAGAACCAUAGUUAUAGAACAUAUGAAGACGAGACCCAGUCGUGGAAUCGGUCUCAACCUGCUGCAUAGAUAUUAGUAUGAUUUGUUCUGUGAAGUAAUUUAUGGACCAAAAUUCUAUUUAACCUCCUAACCAAAAAACAAAAUAUGCUACUUGAGAAUAUUAAAUUUGUACAUAUUCAAAUUUUAUG